CCAGACUCCUACGGGAGGCAGCAGUGGGGGAUAUUGGACAAUGGGGGGAACCCUGAUCCAGCGACGCCGCGUGAGUGAAGAAGUAUUUCGGUAUGUAAAGCUCUGUCAGCAGGGAAGAAAGAAAUGACGGUACCUGACUAAGAAGCCCCGGCUAACUACGUGCCAGCAGCCGCGGUAAUACGUAGGGGGCAAGCGUUAUCCGGAUUUACUGGGUGUAAAGGGAGCGUAGACGGCAGCACAAGUCUGAAGUGAAAUGCCGAGGCUUAACCCCGGAACUGCUUUGGAAACUGUGCAGCUAGAGUGCAGGAGAGGUAAGUGGAAUUCCUAGUGUAGCGGUGAAAUGCGUAGAUAUUAGGAGGAACACCAGUGGCGAAGGCGGCUUACUGGACUGUAACUGACGUUGAGGCUCGAAAGCGUGGGGAGCAAACAGGAUUAGAUACCCCAGUAC
rnacentral:rRNA from 1 species